rnacentral:rRNA from 1 species
AACAGGAUUAGAUACCCUGGUAGUCCACGCCGUAAACGAUGUCGACUUGGAGGUUGUUCCCUUGAGGAGUGGCUUCCGGAGCUAACGCGUUAAGUCGACCGCCUGGGGAGUACGGCCGCAAGGUUAAAACUCAAAUGAAUUGACGGGGGCCCGCACAAGCGGUGGAGCAUGUGGUUUAAUUCGAUGCAACGCGAAGAACCUUACCUACUCUUGACAUCCAGAGAACUUAGCAGAGAUGCUUUGGUGCCUUCGGGAACUCUGAGACAGGUGCUGCAUGGCUGUCGUCAGCUCGUGUUGUGAAAUGUUGGGUUAAGUCCCGCAACGAGCGCAACCCUUAUCCUUUGUUGCCAGCGGUUCGGCCGGGAACUCAAAGGAGACUGCCAGUGAUAAACUGGAGGAAGGUGGGGAUGACGUCAAGUCAUCAUGGCCCUUACGAGUAGGGCUACACGCGUGCUACAAUGGCGCAUACAAAGAGAAGCGACCUCGCGAGAGCAAGCGGACCUCAUAAAGUGCGUCGUAGUCCGGAUCGGAGUCUGCAACUCGACUCCGUGAAGUCGGAAUCGCUAGUAAUCGUAGAUCAGAAUGCUACGGUGAAUACGUUCCCGGGCCUUGUACACACCGCCCGUCACACCAUGGGAGUGGGUUGCAAAAGAAGUAGGUAGCUUAACCUUCGGGAGGGCGCUUACCACUUUGUGAUUCAUGACUGGGGUGAAGUCGUAACAAGGUAACC